CUUGCCCAUGGCUCCCGCGUUGCUGCCAUUCAUUACUCUCGUGUUUGGACAAGUUCAUUCCACCCUUCCUUAUCCCUUCCCGCACCCACCUCGUACAUUAGCUCCGUAGGCUGCUACGGUGGAUUUUGUACAUGAGGGCGAUGCAUCAAAGCCUGUGGAUGUUCCCCCCUGGCUUUGUAAGGAUCUGCAACCAGAUCAUUUCUCCCUCUGCUCUCUGUCUUCGAUGUGGCUAGUCAGCUGACAUUCGUCCGCUGACAUUGCCUUUUUCUGUCGCCAAUUCAAUGCUAGUUGUCCUCCUCCUCCUCAAGUCGCACGCCUUCUUUUACUGGUUUCUUUUCUUCUUUUUUUCUUUUUCUGAAGGCAUUUAACUGUCCGCAACCCUAGUUUUUGGAGUCAUUCCAAGGCGGGUUCAAGGAGUCAUUCUCUGUUUGUGGUGGACUGGAGUGCGGUAGCAAGUGUAGCGGUUGGAAGUCAGUUUUUGGUAUGAAGUCGUAAACGAUAACCCUUUACUUACCGAAGUGUCAUGUGGCCAUCAGGCUGUGCUAGUAACUGGGAAAAUUUCAGGUUCUUUUGGGGUGUGUUCACCAGAGUCAUCAAAUGCAAGGGAGAGGUGAAAGGGUGGCGCGUUUGAAGCUGCUACGGGGUCGUUUUGCUCGUAAGGGCGUGAGUGGGAAUUGGUGACCUCCAGUUAGGGCAAGAUAAGGGUUUCCAGCAGAUCGACCUCGUAGCAGCUGUAAACAUUCCAGCACAGGCAUUUGAUUUGAUUCUCAUAGGUGUCGUGCACACAUCAUUCUCUGGUAAGUGUUCAGAUAGAUACAAGUUUCGUGGACUCCGAGGGUAGGGCGUGGCCUGGGUGCGGUGAAGGCCAGGGAAGAAGCCCAAAAUUUGUGACCUUCACAACGCUAAUUUGCAGCGGUUUGUUGAGCGUCCAUUUGUAACUAGGCAUUGCUCCAUUGUGGGUUAGGUUUAAGCAUUCUAUCUUUGGCUACAAACUUCCCAAUUCAUAUUGCUGAGGAGCUUUGCAAUAGUUAUUUAUCAAUCUUCAAUGGAGCUUUUGGAAGGUUUUUCUUAUCCUAAAGCAACUACUCUUGCUUAUUAUAUGCAUUGUUGUUAUAUACAAGUAGGAAAUAUAAAAUGUUUUUUAUAUAGAAAUUGAAUGUAAAAGUGGUAUUUUAAA